UGAGAUUAAAGCCACAAGAUAUAUGUA
rnacentral:sRNA from 1 species